GCAUGGCUGACAUUUCAAUGUCCAGUCUUCCAGCAUCUACCUGAUUAACUCUGGAUAUUGAUAUUGGAAUGGCUGACUGUUGCGGUGGAGGAAGAAGAGAUUGCCAUUGAGGAUGCAAAUUCCGGUAAGUAUUGAUCCAAGCAUCGUGUUGUGGGGGAGGAUGGACAGUCGCACCACCACGGGGAGCGGAGGAUGAAGCUAGGUUUUGUCUGUCCAUAUCUCGGCCGUACUAGAUAAUUCAAUGAAUUUUAACUAUAGUGGGAUAUGCGAUGAAGAAAUUGGUGGUCGCCGGCGGCGAUUGCGUACCGGAACCCCGGUGAGCAAUCUUUUCAGUUCAGCACUGACUUGACCACGCA
rnacentral:misc_RNA from 1 species